CCUACGGGUGGCAGCAGUGGGGAAUAUUGCACAAUGGGGGAAACCCUGAUGCAGCGACGCCGCGUGAGUGAAGAAGUCUUUCCGUAUGGAAAGCUCUAUCAGCAGGGAGGAAAAUGACGGUACCUGACUACGACGCCCCGGCUCACUCCGUUCCAGCAGCCGCGGUCCUACGUAGGGGGCCAGCGUUAUCCGGAUUUACUGGGUGUAAAGGGAGCGUAGACGGCCAGACAAGUCAGAAGUGAAAGCCCCGGGCUCAACCCUGGGACUGCGUUUGAAACUGCCGGGCUGGAGUGCAGGAGAGGCAAGCGGAAUUCCUAGUGUAGCGGUGAAAUGCGUAGAUAUUAGGAGGAACACCAGUGGCGAAGGCGGCUUACUGGACUGUAACUGACGUUGAGGCUCGAAAGCGUGGGGAGCAAACAGGAUUAGAUACCCGUGUAGUC
rnacentral:rRNA from 1 species